CUCCCAAGUGUAUAGUGCUUUGGGCACAUUAAGCAUUCAACAAAUAGUACUGAUUGAUUGAUUUCUUCCCCUAAUAGACAAAGUUAACUACAAACACCUUAGAAAGGAAACUGAUUUCUUCCAUGGUAUCAUUUCAACUUUUUUUUUUCCUCUUCCAGGUAAGUGAAGUACAAAUUUAAAAUGGUUUAAACAAGUGGGGGAAGGGGUGAUGAGAGUCAAUUUAAACAUUCCAAACACACUGAAUCAGCACGACAUUGUUUGUUUAAUGAGAUAACUCUUACUGACCACUUAAAACCAAUCACAGGUCACAGCCUGAAGUAGAGAUCAAUUAUGAAAAAAUCAUUUAUGUUUCUAAAUUCUAAUUAAAAACACUUUAACAGAAAAUCUCUGCCAGGUGCAAAUCAUCCCAAGGAAUCCUAAGGAAUUGGAGCUGUGAUUAGAACCCAAGUCCUCUGCUCUCUCCACUAAGUGACACUGCUUUUCCAAUUCCCUGAGGUUCUGGACUGUAAGCUCAUUGAGGGCAGGGAAUGUGUCUACCCACCUAUGUUAUACUUUACUCUCCCAAGAACUCAGUAAAGUUCUCUGCACAUGGUAAGCGCUCAAUAAAUACCAUUGAUUGAUUGAUGAGUCAUAGUGACUUUGUUCCCACAGUUUGGCCUCAUUUCCUUCCCAUGCAGGAAAUCACUCCAGAUUGUCAGAUUUUGGAGGAGUGCUUUGAGUGUUUCCACUGGCUUGGAUCUGUAGAGCAGGAUCAAAGCUGAAGGCCCACGUCAACGAGAUGGUCAACGUGCCGGUAUUUGAGAAACACUUUGCGGAUGCCUGUCUGAAACAGAAACAGCAGGGAGACUAUUCAACCACAAGAAAGAGCCAGCCCUGACGGUGGGGCUUGCUGUUUCUUCCCACUGGAAGUAAGCUUCUCCAGGGCAGACUUUAAUAAGCUUGUUGUGAGCUGGGAAUGGGUCUACC